GAUUAACGCUAGCGGCAGGCCUAAUACAUGCAAGUCGAACGGCAGCACAGGGAUCAAUCCUGGAUGGCGCGUCGCGCGCGGGUGCGUAACACGUAUGCAACCUACCCUAUACAGGCGAAUAACCUUUAAAAGUGAGGGCUACUGCGCCGGAGUAUUACAGGUGGGCGUCUAUUUUUAAUUCAAGAUUUAUCGGUAUAGGAUGGGCAUGCGUCCCAUUAGUUAGUUGGUAAGGUACCGGCUUGCCAAGACGAUGAUGGGUAGGUGAUCUGAGAGGACGUACCCCCACACCGGUACUGAGACCCGGACCAGACUGCUAGGGGAGGGAGCAGUAAGUAAUAUUGGGCGAGGGAGGCGAGGCUGACCCAGCCAUGCGGGGUGCAGGAAGACUGCGUUAGGGGUUGUAAACUGCUUGGAAACGGGAACAAUAGAGUGUACGCGUACAUUUAUGCAAGUAUCGUAUGAAUAAGCAUCGGCUAACUCCGUG
rnacentral:rRNA from 1 species